rnacentral:rRNA from 1 species
GGGUUGUGAGGUUAAGCGACUAAGCGUACACGGUGGAUGCCCUGGCAGUCAGAGGCGAUGAAGGACGUGCUAAUCUGCGAUAAGCGUCGGUAAGGUGAUAUGAACCGUUAUAACCGGCGAUUUCCGAAUGGGGAAACCCAGUGUGUUUCGACACACUAUCAUUAACUGAAUCCAUAGGUUAAUGAGGCGAACCGGGGGAACUGAAACAUCUAAGUACCCCGAGGAAAAGAAAUCAACCGAGAUUCCCCCAGUAGCGGCGAGCGAACGGGGAGGAGCCCAGAGCCUGAAUCAGUGUGUGUGUUAGUGGAAGCGUCUGGAAAGGCGCGCGAUACAGGGUGACAGCCCCGUACACAAAAAUGCACAUGCUGUGAGCUCGAUGAGUAGGGCGGGACACGUGGUAUCCUGUCUGAAUAUGGGGGGACCAUCCUCCAAGGCUAAAUACUCCUGACUGACCGAUAGUGAACCAGUACCGUGAGGGAAAGGCGAAAAGAACCCCGGCGAGGGGAGUGAAAAAGAACCUGAAACCGUGUACGUACAAGCAGUGGGAGCCUCUUUUAUGGGGUGACUGCGUACCUUUUGUAUAAUGGGUCAGCGACUUAUAUUCUGUAGCAAGGUUAACCGAAUAGGGGAGCCGAAGGGAAACCGAGUCUUAACUGGGCGUUAAGUUGCAGGGUAUAGACCCGAAACCCGGUGAUCUAGCCAUGGGCAGGUUGAAGGUUGGGUAACACUAACUGGAGGACCGAACCGACUAAUGUUGAAAAAUUAGCGGAUGACUUGUGGCUGGGGGUGAAAGGCCAAUCAAACCGGGAGAUAGCUGGUUCUCCCCGAAAGCUAUUUAGGUAGCGCCUCGUGAAUUCAUCUCCGGGGGUAGAGCACUGUUUCGGCAAGGGGGUCAUCCCGACUUACCAACCCGAUGCAAACUACGAAUACCGGAGAAUGUUAUCACGGGAGACACACGGCGGGUGCUAACGUCCGUCGUGAAGAGGGAAACAACCCAGACCGCCAGCUAAGGUCCCAAAGUCAUGGUUAAGUGGGAAACGAUGUGGGAAGGCCCAGACAGCCAGGAUGUUGGCUUAGAAGCAGCCAUCAUUUAAAGAAAGCGUAAUAGCUCACUGGUCGAGUCGGCCUGCGCGGAAGAUGUAACGGGGCUAAACCAUGCACCGAAGCUGCGGCAGCGACGCUGAUGCGUUGUUGGGUAGGGGAGCGUUCUGUAAGCCUGCGAAGGUGUGCUGUGAGGCAUGCUGGAGGUAUCAGAAGUGCGAAUGCUGACAUAAGUAACGAUAAAGCGGGUGAAAAGCCCGCUCGCCGGAAGACCAAGGGUUCCUGUCCAACGUUAAUCGGGGCAGGGUGAGUCGACCCCUAAGGCGAGGCCGAAAGGCGUAGUCGAUGGGAAACAGGUUAAUAUUCCUGUACUUGGUGUUACUGCGAAGGGGGGACGGAGAAGGCUAUGUUGGCCGGGCGACGGUUGUCCCGGUUUAAGCGUGUAGGCUGGUUUUCCAGGCAAAUCCGGAAAAUCAAGGCUGAGGCGUGAUGACGAGGCACUACGGUGCUGAAGCAACAAAUGCCCUGCUUCCAGGAAAAGCCUCUAAGCAUCAGGUAACAUCAAAUCGUACCCCAAACCGACACAGGUGGUCAGGUAGAGAAUACCAAGGCGCUUGAGAGAACUCGGGUGAAGGAACUAGGCAAAAUGGUGCCGUAACUUCGGGAGAAGG